UUAUGGCCAUAUCAUGUUGAAACACUCAUUCCCAUAUGAUCACCAAGGUUAAGCAAUGUCGAGCCUGAUCAGUACCUGGAUGGGUGACCGUUUGGGAAUGCCAGGUGUAGUAU